rnacentral:rRNA from 1 species
AGUGAACGCUGGCGGUAGGCCUAACACAUGCAAGUCGAACGGCAGCACAGUAAGAGCUUGCUCUUACGGGUGGCGAGUGGCGGACGGGUGAGGAAUACAUCGGAAUCUACUUUUUCGUGGGGGAUAACGUAGGGAAACUUACGCUAAUACCGCAUACGACCUACGGGUGAAAGCAGGGGAUCUUCGGACCUUGCGCGAUUGAAUGAGCCGAUGUCGUAUUAGCUAGUUGGCGGGGUAAAGGCCCACCAAGGCGACGAUCCGUAGCUGGUCUGAGAGGAUGAUCCGCCACACUGGAACUGAGACACGGUCCAGACUCCUACGGGAGGCAGCAGUGGGGAAUAUUGGACAAUGGGCGCAAGCCUGAUCCAGCCAUACCGCGUGGGUGAAGAAGGCCUUCGGGUUGUAAAGCCCUUUUGUUGGGAAAGAAAAGCAGCAGGUUAAUACCCCGCUGUUCUGACGGUACCCAAAGAAUAAGCACCGGCUAACUUCGUG